GCCCGCGUGGCGCAAUUGGUUAGCGCGUCAGACUUUUAAGAAGAGUUUCCCGCAAGGAAAUUCCUUCUAGGCCAUCUGAAUGUUGCGAGUUCGAGUCUCGCCGUGGGCG